rnacentral:rRNA from 1 species
AUUGAACGCUGGCGGCAGGCUUAACACAUGCAAGUCGAGCGGAGCGAGGGUGCUUGCACCUUAGCUUAGCGGCGGACGGGUGAGUAAUGCUUAGGAAUCUGCCUAUUAGUGGGGGACAACAUUCCGAAAGGGAUGCUAAUACCGCAUACGCCCUACGGGGGAAAGCAGGGGAUCUUCGGACCUCGCGCUAAUAGAUGAGCCUAAGUCGGAUUAGCUAGUUGGUGGGGUAAAGGCCUACCAAGGCGACGAUCUGUAGCGGGUCUGAGAGGAUGAUCCGCCACACUGGGACUGAGACACGGCCCAGACUCCUACGGGAGGCAGCGGUGGGGAAUAUUGGACAAUGGGCGGAAGCCUGAUCCAGCCAUGCCGCGUGUGUGAAGAAGGCCUUUUGGUUGUAAAGCACUUUAAGCGAGGGGGAGGCUACUAGUAUUAAUACUACUGGAUAGUGGACGUUACUCGCAGAAUAAGCACCGGCUAACUCUGUGCCAGCCGCCGCCGUAA